GAUGAACGCUGGCGGCGUGCCUAAUACAUGCAAGUCGAGCGAACAGACGCGGACCUUGCUCCUCUGACGUUAGCGGCGGACGGGUGAGUAACACGUGGAUACCCUACCUAUCAGACUGGGAUAACUUCGGGAAACCGGAGCUAAUACCGGAUAAUAUAUUUAACCGCAUGGUUCAAUAGUGAAAGACGGUUUUGCUGUCGCUUAUAGCUGGAUCGGCGCCGCAUUAGCUAGUUGGUAAGGUAACGGCUUACCAAGGCGACGAUGCGUAGCCGACCUGAGAGAGUGAUCGGCCGCCCGAGAGGUGGGACACGGUCAAUGCUCCUGCGGGAGGGAGCAGUAGCGAAUCUUCCGCAGUGGGCGAAAGCCUGACGGAGCAACGCCGAGUGAGAUGUGAAGGUCUUGGGUGCGUGAAACUCUGUUAUGAGGGAAAAACAACUGUGUAAGGAACUAUGCACGUCGUGACGGUACCUAAUCAGAAAGCCACGGCUAACUACGUG
rnacentral:rRNA from 1 species